GAUGAAGAACGUAGCGAAAUGCGAUAAGUAGUGUGAAUUGCAGAAUUCAGUGAAUCAUCGAAUCUUUGAACGCACAUUGCGCCCCUUGGUAUUCCAUGGGGCAUGCCUGUUCGAGCGUCAUUUGUACCCUCAAGCUUUGCUUGGUGUUGGGCGUCUUGUCGUAUUACGACUCGCCUUAAAUACAUUGGCAGCCGGCACUUUGGCCUAGGAGCGCAGCACAUUUUGCGAUCGUAGCCCGUUGUACUGGCGUCCAUCAAGAACAUUUACCACGUUUGACCUCGGAUCAGGUAGGGAUACCCGCUGAAUUUAAGCAUAUCAAUAAGCGGAGGA
rnacentral:misc_RNA from 1 species